UGUUCUGUUGUCAGUGAUGAUUUGUUAGUGGAACUGAAUGCCUGUGAUUGCCCACAACAUUUCGUCACUACCACUGAGACAACAGCUAA